rnacentral:rRNA from 1 species
GAUGAACGCUGGCGGCGUGCCUAAUACAUGCAAGUCGAGCGAACAGACGAGGAGCUUGCUCCUCUGACGUUAGCGGCGGCCGGGUGAGUAACAAGUGGAUAACCUACCUAUAAGACUGGGAUAACUUCGGGAAACCGGAGCUAAUACCGGAUAAUAUAUUGAACCGCAUGGAUCAAUAGUGAAAGACGGCUUUGCUGUCUCUUAUAGAUGGAUCCGCGCCGCAUUAGCUAGUUGGUAAGGUAACGGCUUACCAAGGCAACGAUGCGUAGCCGACCUGAGAGGGUGAUCGGCCACACUGGAACUGAGACACGGUCCAGACUCCUACGGGAGGCAGCAGUAGGGAAUCUUCCGCAAUGGGCGAAAGCCUGACGGAGCAACGCCGCGUGAGUGAUGAAGGUCUUCGGAUCGUAAAACUCUGUUAUUAGGGAAGAACAAAUGUGUAAGUAACUAUGCACGUCUUGACGGUACCUAAUCAGAAAGCCACGGCUAACUACGUG